rnacentral:rRNA from 1 species
UACAGAGGUCUCAAGCGUUGUUCGGAUUCAUUGGGCGUAAAGGGUGCGUAGGUGGCGCUGUAAGUCGGGUGUGAAAUUUCGGAGCUUAACUCCGAACUGCAUUCGAUACUGCCGUGCUUGAGGACUGGAGAGGAGACUGGAAUUUACGGUGUAGCGGUGAAAUGUGUAGAUAUCGUAAGGAAGACCAGUGGCGAAGGCGGGUCUCUGGGCCGUAACUGACGCUGAGGAGCGAAAGCGUGGGGAGCGAACAGG